GGAGAAAUGGGAGUUUUAUGAUUGGGCUCCGGCACCCAGGCCUCUCACCUCUCAAUUUUAAGUCUUUGGACAGAAUAUGGGGGCCCAGAUGAACAUGCUUGUAUCUCACAAUGCGCUUUACCUAGCACUUGGAUGAGGUGGGCCUAAAUCUGUACCAGACAGGAGAUAAACACCAGGGCACCAGGAGGAAUGGAAGGCUGUCCUUGCCCUAGAGAAGCAGUCCAUGCUCUAUACAGGAGAACUGAGGCCUGGGCACAUAAAGUACUUCCCCAAAGUCACACAUCUGGUAAGUGGAAAUGGCGAAGCUGAGAUUUGAACCCGGGGCCGACUUGACUCCAUUCAAGCAUCCCAGAAAUCCUGAAGACCCACUAUGUGCCAGACGCUGCGACCAUGCCCUGAAGUCUGCAUUCUUGAUCAUUGGUGACACUCAGCACAACACAAAGAGUCUCUGUGGAAGUGGGGAGCCAUUUCUCGGGGAUUACAAGUCAGCAAGAAUCUGAUCUGCUGUGCCGCGAACUACACAGAACUGGGACUGGCAGCGGCACUUCCCACUGUAGAGGACAGGGACUGAGCAGAAGGGUCCCUGCUUUGCCGUCUUUCAGUUCCUCUGUCCCUUGGAAGCUGUAUGACAUCGGACAACUAGGUAAUCUAUAAAAGGGGGACCCUAUUUCUUCCCUCAGAGGGCUUUGGUGAGGAUCAAGAGAGAUUUCAAAAGACCCGUGAGGUAUGUUGCCUCUUUGCUAA